CCUUAAUCCUUAUCGGAUAGUUUGAAAAUGUUAGUAUAACACCAACAAUGUGUACAAAGUCAAAAUGGGAGCAGCUCUAAACCACAAUUUUGGAAUAGUUCGUGUUUUUUAAGUAAAUGCGGUGUGGCAACAGGAGCACAUCUCAUCAGAAUAAAAUUCUGCAGGUAGGACGCUAUUCUUUAAUAUUGUCAUUUGAAUGGAACAAUUCUGAUGUGGUUAGCUUUUUUUUUGCUUCAGUCACGUGUUGAUUCGGCCGACUACUCAUUUAUUUGCUAUAGUAAUUAGUUUUUAAUCCUUUUUUUUUUUUGGUUAGCUAGGGUUAUUUUCCUCUACUAAAUAGACGUGUUUUUGAAGGGUGGGGUGGGGACUGGGCUUGAAUAACAUUUUAUUUCAUUUCAAUGGAUGAAAUUGAUUGGGGAUAGGAGUAAGUAACGAGUUCCGUCGAUGAGCAAAUUAAACUCACAACCCAUGAUGCCACUGUUGUAAAGAUGAAGAAAUACAUUUAAAUGUCGUAAUCCGGGUUUCAUCGUACUGCGAGUCCUGCUUGAUCCGAGUGCUCGAAUGGAGGAGCCCCUUAUUGUCUAGCAGCCGUGCACAUUCCGGUGACCAAGACGAUCGUUUGCUACACGAGUCUGAACGCUUCAUGUGCAUUUUUCACCUGGCAAACUGCUUCGCACACAGCAGCCGUGGGAAGAAGCAACACGGAUGCUCCUCACUGCGGCUGACAGCCGGCGGAUGGGAGAUCCACUCCCACGUCCACAUUUGACCUUGUUCCACAUGGCUAUCGGCUGCCGCCGUCGGCAGAUCGCCACCCAUGAGAUAUCGAAGAAACAUAAAUAAUUUCCUCCGCUUCGCUGGAAAUCCAUCCUUGCCUCGACCGAGCCGCUGCUACGUCACACCAGUGUUUCUGCAGCUCGAAUCAAAAGAAUCAGCAAGGCAAAUCUUCCCAGUGUCUUCGCGCCGGCUCGAGCCAAGAAAUGAAUGCUGAAUCAUGCCUGGCUCUUUAUUAUCCCAGACAGACAGGCGCGUCAAACACGAUCACAUUAUAACACGCCAAUUGACACCAUUCUCCGGCAGCGCACCUGUCCAAGUGCAUUAGCACAGUUCUGAUCUGCACAACUACAUUUUCUUAGCAGGUGGUACGACUGCAUAUUUAAACGUCGCGGCCAAUGGCGAGAUAAUGCAGGCAGCGGUUCAGCGUCUUCACCAUCGGAACAGAGAACAGAGCUUGGGGAAACACUGCCAGUUGACAGUUAGGCGUGGAACGACUACCAAAAAGGCACCAGCUCGGCAAAGCGGUCCAUUUUUCGCACGUGACGCCAUAAAGUACCCGCCCCCUCCGUCGUGCACACGCCCCCUGCAAAGGCGACGCCCUCGAGGAACAAAGGCCACAAGCAUCUUCAAAUUGACACCAACUCGUACGUCUGAGAACGAAUGCUGCUGCACCAGAACUAUAUUUUGCGGUGGUACGGGUUCCAAUAUUACAUACAUAUUGAACCAGAAAAGCAUGCAAGGAGAAAUAAAAGAGGCGAGCCAAGAGUGCUGCAGCGCUUGAGCUAAAAGUGGUGAGGUCAGUGCCUUGCUCAAUGGCACAUCAAGAGAAGUCAGGAUAUAGACUAGCAUCUCUCCAGCAAAUUGUCACCAUUUUCAUUUGUCCUCGGCGCCCAAGUCCUCACAUAGAUGAUCAAGACCCAUAUUCACAUAUAUCCUUACAUUUUCCAUUCUGCUUAUCCUCACUACGGUUGCAGGGGGCCCAGCUUGAGCCUAUCACAGUUAUCUUCAGGGUAGAGGCAGGGGUUCCUCCCCUGAACUGGUCGCCAGCUAAUUGUAGGGCAUAUAUAGACAAACAGCCAUUUGCACUCACAAGCAAUUUAGUCUUCAGGCAGCCUACCGUGCACGUUAUUUUUUGGGGGGAUGUUGGGGGAAACCAGAGUACCCGGGGGAAGCCCAUGCAGGCAUGGGGAGAACAUGAAAAUGCCACUCAGGUGGGACUGAGAUUUGAACUCUGGUCCUCAGAACUGUGAGGAAUGUAACCAGUCAUAUCACCGUGCAACCAAACAACAAAAAACAUAGCUUUUAAGUUGUAGCAAAUGCAACUUUAAAAAUUAGCCUGCUCUGUUACCAGUCGUGUGAACAGAUUUUGAGGUGUAGGUGCUGAAAUUGUCACCCCCCCCAAAAGGGGCAUGAGUUAUAUAAUUAUGAAUAUUUAUACAUUGAUUUAUUUUAUAAAAAUCGAAUAUGUAUUAAUUAUCCCCUCCAUAAGCAUUGGAACAGCAACAUUUGUUCCAUCACUUUGGCCAUGCUUAAUCUUGGUCUCGUCAGUCCAUAAAAUUUUGUUCCAAAACUUUUGUGGCUCAUCUCUCCUUUGCAAAAUCCAAUUUGUCGUUCUGAUUGUUUUUACUGGUGAGUAGUUUGCAUAUAAUGGUAUGGUAUGACAGCCAGUAAAGCGGUGGGCUCACAGUUCUGAGGAUCUCGGCCCCGCCUGUGUGGAGUUUACAUGUUCUCCCCGUGUCUGCGUUGGUUUUCUCCGGGCACUGGUUUCCUCCCACAUCCCAAAAAACAUGCAACAUUAAUUGGACACUCUAAAUUGCCCCUAGGAGUAAUUGUAAGUGUGGCCGUUUGUCUCUAUGUGCUCUGCGAUUGGCUGGCGACCAGUUCAGGGUGUAUCCCGCCUCCUGCCCGUUGACAGCUGGGAUAGGCGCCGGCAGUCCCCGUGACUCUUGUGAGGAUAAGCGGUAAAGAAGAUGGAUGCAUGGUAUGGUAUGGUAUGGUAUGGUAUGGUAUGGCAUGGCCAUGUACAUUUCCUCUCUCAAAGUCUUCUUCGAACACUGGAUUGUGACACCUUUGAAGGAAUUAACCUUGCCAUUCCAAGACUUUUUGUUUGGGACUGCACCUUGUCUAUUCUGUUAACACAUGGAAGGCUAAAGUGUGUAUCCAAUGUCAACGUGGGUAUCCAAUGUCGCUGUUCAAAGGUAAGGUGAAGGUGGUUUUGGAAGGUGAAGAAGUGGUGCUGGAGGCAGUGGGAGCAUAUGUACAGUUCUAUCAAGUGCACAAAUAAUUGCCUGUCAGAUUAGAAAACACUUGGUAAACUUGAUAAUUGUGAGAGUAAUGUUUAUUUCUAUUAUUUGUAAAUAUUGAAGAAUGCACAAUGAGGCUUUUUUUUCAUCCAGGGCAAAAGGGCAGGUGCAUGACCACCACCAAGUGUACACGCGCCUGUCCAUCUUUUUUUCCUUUCGUCUUUUCUCGUUUGGGGUUGCCAUCUUAGAUGAACGCAUACAGUAUUUAUCUGGCACAGUUUUUACGCCGGAUUCCCUUCCUGACGCAACCCCUCUGUCCAUAACCUGGGUAAAACAAAAUACACUUCCGUCUGACUGCUUUCCAGCACAUCGUUGACUGCAAACUGAUUUAAUCAAAGCAGCGUAGUUGUGAAACUGUUUAGAACGUUGGCCUCACAGUUCUGAUGAACGAGGUUCAAAGCCCGGCCCCUCCUGUGCGGAGUUUGCAUGUUCUGUCCGUGCCUGCGUGGGUUUUCUCUCGCCACUCCAGUUUCCUCCCACGUUUCAAAAACAUGCAACAUUAACUGGAAACUCUAAAUUGCCCCUAGGUGUAAUUGUGAGUGCGACUGUUGUCUGUCUCCAUGUGCUCUACGAUUGGCUGCCAACCAGUUCAGGGUGUACCCCGCCUCCUGCCUGUUGACAGGUGGGAUUGGCGCCAAUCCUCCCAUGACCCUCGUGAGGUAAAGCGGCUCAGAAAAUGGAUGGAUGGAUAGAUAGCGUAACCAAAACAUCUUCUUGUUCUCCAGGUUGCAAGUUUAAGACCUAAGGCACUUGGACCACAAGCUCAAAAUAAUUAAACUCCGCAUUUGCAAAGACUGAAAUGUUCACUUCUUGUAAUAAAUCAUAGUACUGUACACCAUUCACGUCUUUGCAGUGAAGUGUCCAGUCAAUAUUCUUUUUUCCGCUCCACGUUCUUCUCCAUGACUUCAA